ensembl:misc_RNA Metazoa_SRP Metazoan signal recognition particle RNA
GCUGGGUGUGGUGGCUCACGCCUGUAAUCCCAGCACUUUGGGAGGCUGAGGCAGGUGGAUCACCUGUGGUCGGGAGUUUGAGACCAGCCUGGCCAACAUGGUGAAACCCUGUCUCUA